AUUGAACGCUGGCGGCAUGCUUUACACAUGCAAGUCGAACGGUAACAGGCCGCCAGGUGCUGACGAGUGGCGAACGGGUGAGUAAUGCAUCGGAACGUGCCCAGUCGUGGGGGAUAACUACUCGAAAGAGUAGCUAAUACCGCAUACGAUCUAUGGAUGAAAGCGGGGGACCGUAAGGCCUCGCGCGAUUGGAGCGGCCGAUGUCAGAUUAGGUAGUUGGUGGGGUAAAGGCUCACCAAGCCAACGAUCUGUAGCUGGUCUGAGAGGACAACCAGCCACACUGGGACUGAGACACGGCCCAGACUCCUACGGGAGGCAGCAGUGGGGAAUUUUGGACAAUGGGCGCAAGCCUGAUCCAGCAGUGCCGCGUGCAGGAAGAAGGCCUUCGGGUUGUAAACUGCUUUUGUACGGAACGAAACGGCUCUGGUUAAUACCCGGGGCUAAUGACGGUACCGUAAGAAUAAGCACCGGCUAACUACGUG
rnacentral:rRNA from 1 species